CAUCUCCCUACUGCAUCUCUGGAGCUCAGCCACAGUGAUCUUUGGGUUCUUCUUUACCUCUCUCACCAAGGCUCUUCUCCCACGAUUGCUCAGUUUGGCUGGACAGCCAGGUCUAGAAGAGUUCUGGUCGUCCCAAACUUCUUCCAUUUAAGGAUUAUGGAGGCCACUGUGCUCUUAGGAACCUUGAGUGCUGCAGAAAUUCUUUUGUGACCUUGGCCAGAUCUGUGCCAUGCCACAAUUCUGUCUCUGAGCUCCUUGGGCAGUUCCUUCGACCUCAUGAUUCUCAUUUGCUCUGACAUGCACUGUGAGCUGUAAGGUCUUAUAUAGACAGGUGUGUGCCUUUCCUAAUCAAGUCCAAUCAGUUUAAUUAAACACAGCAGGACUCCAAUGAAGGAGUAGAACCAUCUCAAGGAGGAUCAGAAGAAAUGGACAGCAUGUGAGUUAAAUAUGAGUGUCACAGCAAAGGGUCUGAAUACUUAUGACCAUGUGAUAUUUCAGUUUUUCUUUUUUAAUAAAUUUGCAAAGAUUUUUACAUUUCUGUUUUUUUCUGUCAAGAUGGGGUGCUGAAUGUACAUUAAUGAAAAAAUAAAAUUAACUUUUUUGAUUUUAGCAAAUGGCUGCAAUGAAACAAAGAGUGAAAAAUUUAAAGGGGUCUGAAUACUUUCCCUACCCACUAUAGAGAGGACCAUAGACCUGUGCUUUAA